rnacentral:rRNA from 1 species
AAGCGUGGGGAGCGAACAGGAUUAGAUACCCUGGUAGUCCACGCCGUAAACGUUGGGCGCUAGAUGUAGGGACCUUUCCACGGUUUAUGUGUCGUAGCUAACGCAUUAAGCGCCCCGCCUGGGGAGUACGGCCGCAAGGCUAAAACUCAAAGGAAUUGACGGGGGCCCGCACAAGCGGCGGAGCAUGCGGAUUAAUUCGAUGCAACGCGAAGAACCUUACCAAGGCUUGACAUACACCGGAAACGGCCAGAGAUGGUCGCCCCCUUGUGGUCGGUGUACAGGUGGUGCAUGGUUGUCGUCAGCUCGUGUCGUGAGAUGUUGGGUUAAGUCCCGCAACGAGCGCAACCCUCGUUCUAUGUUGCCAGCGCGUUAUGGCGGGGACUCAUAGGAGACUGCCGGGGUCAACUCGGAGGAAGGUGGGGAUGACGUCAAAUCAUCAUGCCCCUUAUGUCUUGGGCUUCACGCAUGCUACAAUGGCCGGUACAAAGGGCUGCGAUACCGUAAGGUGGAGCGAAUCCCAAAAAGCCGGUCUCAGUUCGGAUUGAGGUCUGCAACUCGACCUCAUGAAGUCGGAGUCGCUAGUAAUCGCAGAUCAGCAACGCUGCGGUGAAUACGUUCCCGGGCCUUGUACACACCGCCCGUCAAGUCAUGAAAGUCGGUAACACCCGAAGCCGGUGGCCUAAC